CUGACCUCAAAUCAGGUAGGACUACCCGCUGAACUUAAGCAUAUCAAUAG
rnacentral:rRNA from 1 species